rnacentral:lncRNA from 12 species
UUUGGUUUUGAUAUAUAUAAUUGCAAGUUUAUAUAGUUUUUAAUAAUGGUUUUAAUAACCUAGCUUGUAUUGUCCAGCUAUUCUGCUGUCAAAUCCACCCAAUGGUCACUCCUUACCUUGGGGAAUUUACACUUUUGUCUGGACUUAAAAGGCCCCCAUCAAGAACCAGAUUAUCCAAGUUCUACUUUUGGUAGGACAAAGUGCUUUACCCCUUUUUUCUAUUUUUAAAAGUCAAGUAUAGAGCUGUAUUCUGAAUUCAUAGCAACUCACUUUCUUUGGCUACCAGGUUAGCACUACUGACAUAGGAGAUAAAAUUUGUUCAUAAUUUAUCUUCUUUUAGAUUUAAAACUUAAAAAAAUCCAUACAAAAUUUAUUCCCACAGUAGAUCAAACACAAACCACAUCACAUUAAAUUAGCAAAUAUACAGUUGUAAAGGAACAAAAAAAUAAUAAUGUCGCAUCACCAGUCGAAACUAAGAACUCAAAUAGGUUUGUCAAUUAAACAAAAAUCAAAGCAACUUGCUGUACAAUGACACUUCAAAAUUCAAAGAAAGAUAAUACAAAAGUUCAAAGACUUGCUGACAAGCAACUGCUAUUCUCCUUCCAGGGAGAAGGCCAGAAAGAGGUCAGAAAGAUGUCAUUUCAUGUUUGAUCUACUUCUGAGAUACUUUGUUCUUCAAAUUAUUGUGGCCCAAAUGGACAGACUGGAAGGACUCAGAGAACAACUGCAAGGACUCAGGGAUAGAAGAGCUAAUGCUGUCAAGCAGCAAAAUUUGAGACUCUUAUGACCUCCUGAAGUCCUUUCUCCAGAGAUGCUGAAGUUCACACAGAUCUUCAGGUGGGCCUGUGAGGAAUGAGGGACAUCAAGAACCACUUCCACUCACUUCUAUCAGUUCAUUAAUAGAUUCAAAACAACCUCCUGCAUGGCAGGCACUGUUGAAGGCACCAGAAAUAUGGAGGUAAACAAAAUGGCAAAAAUCUCUGCUCUCUGAGAGCUUCUCUCUGGCAAGGAAAGAGAGACAACAAACAAAAUAAAUAAGUUGACUGUAAAGAGAAGCA